UACGGAGGAUGCGAGUGUUAUCCGGAAUGAUUGGGCGUAAAGCGUCUGUAGGUGGCUUUUUAAGUCCGCCGUCAAAUCCCAGGGCUCAACCCUGGACAGGCGGUGGAAACUACCAAGCUGGAGUACGGUAGGGGCAGAGGGAAUUUCCGGUGGAGCGGUGAAAUGCAUAGAUAUCGGGAAGAACACCAACGGCGAAAGCACUCCGCUGGGCUGAUACUGACACUGACAGACGAAAGCUAGGGUAGCGAAUGGG
rnacentral:rRNA from 1 species